rnacentral:rRNA from 1 species
CAUGCAAGUCGAACGUGAUUUUGUGGAAAUUCUUUCGGGAAUGGAAAUGAAAUGAAAGUGGCGAACGGGUGAGUAACACGUGAGCAACCUACCUUACACAGGGGGAUAGCCGUUGGAAACGACGAUUAAUACCGCAUGAGACCACAGAAUCGCAUGAUAUAGGGGUCAAAGAUUUAUCGGUGUAAGAAGGGCUCGCGUCUGAUUAGCUAGUUGGAAGGGUAAAGGCCUACCAAGGCGACGAUCAGUAGCCGGUCUGAGAGGAUGAACGGCCACAUUGGAACUGAGACACGGUCCAAACUCCUACGGGAGGCAGCAGUGGGGAAUAUUGCACAAUGGGGGGAACCCUGAUGCAGCGACGCCGCGUGAGCGAAGAAGGUUUUCGAAUCGUAAAGCUCUGUCCUAUGAGAAGAUAAUGACGGUAUCAUAGGAGGAAGCCCCGGCUAAAUACGUGCCAGCAGCCGCGGUGAUACGUAUGGGGCGAGCGUUGUCCGGAAUUAUUGGGCGUAAAGGGUACGUAGGCGGUUUUUUAAGUCAGGUGUGAAAGCGUGAGGCUUAACCUCAUUAAGCACUUGAAACUGGAAGACUUGAGUGAAGGAGAGGAAAGUGGAAUUCUCUAGUGUAGCGGUGAAAUGCGUAGAUAUUAGGAGGAUACCGGUGGCGAAGGCGACUUUCUGGACUUUUACU